CAGUCACCGGUCACUGAUCACAGACACCUUUGUCAAUAAUUGUCGUUCAUCCAGAGUGAAACUACUUUCCAAAGUCUGGGCUGACAUUUACACCACAUGCAACUUUUUUUUUUUUUUUCUUUGCUUCAAGCUUUUCUGUCUUCCGUAGAAUAAGACUAGUCGGUGAAUUAAUCUUGUGUGUGCAAUUUCGAGACGGUCCUUUUGGGGAAACGUGUACAAAUUCACUCUCUGAUUGGAGAGAAAAGAAAAGCUGUGCCUCCUUUGAACUUCUUCACCACAGGGUCAUGAGUUCAAGUCCCAGGUGUUGGGGAGGGGGGUGGUCUGUCUGUCUCGGUAGGCUUAUUCUUCCUCGCAGACCCUUCCCCCUGUAUUUCUGCACCUUGUAUGUUCAGCCACUGCAGUCGUAUACUGUAGCUCCUCGUGCUACUUACUUCACAACUAGCUUUCUCAGACAGAAAGUUUAUGGAUAACGAUACAAGGUUUUACAAAUGUGGGGUGUCCAUGUCUUUUAAUGUGUCUGUGUGUGUGUGUUCUGACCACACUGAACCUGCAGAAAGAAAAAAAACGGAUGGCCGCUACCAGACAGACCGUCUUUCAUAGGAAAUGAGACCCUCUGACCUUUACCAAUCAUUGUGUCUGGAAAUGCAAAGCCUGGAAUCGAUCACUGCCCCCCUUCCUUGCCCAGACAGACAUGCACUCUCCACCUCUGCUCCUUCAGCUCCCUAUUCCUUCCCUCCACCCCCUUUCCAUUUUUUGUCCUCUCUAGCUAACUGAGUGCCCCCUUUCCGUUUUCCCGCUCAACCCCUGGCCCCUGCUCUGUUCCCUUCCCCCAUGAUCAGAUAAUGUAUGCCAGAGUGCUUAUGUUCCGUUUCAUGCAGCACUUGGUCACUCUACUCUACUCUACUCUACUCUACUCUACUCUACUCUACUCUACUCUACUCUACGCCACUCUACACACUGGAAAAUAGCACUGAAAUGUUUAGCAUAAUGCUCUGAACCUUGCUGGUAGGCCUGAAAUUUUAUGAUAUAAUAAUAAUAAUAAUAAUAAUACGAGGUGCAUCCUGGCAACAUGCAUUUAAAUAAUCCGAUCGAAGCUGUCGCAUAACCCAAGUGUAAUUUUGUCCCAGCGUAAAUUCUCAGGAGAAAGUCCGAGUUUAGCGAGACCCAGUGAACAUUCAACGCUGUCGAUGUUCAAGAGGCUCUUUGAUACCAACCGGGCUGAGAAGGCUGCACGAGUGUCCCUGACGGCAUUACAGAUGAAGUGAAAGACAGUCUAUCCUUGCUCUUUGCUUGUGGUCCUAAUUCACAUUCAUUGCUGUCUGUGGGUUCUUUUUUUUCUGUCUCUCUUUUUGUUUUUUUCUCUCCUCAGGAUGACUCGCCGGACAAUGAAUGAGAACCGUGGUCAUUUGUUCCAGCUCAUCGCACUUUAAAAAAAAAAAUAAAAAUGAUUUAAUGCUUAUGAGAAGUACAACUGAUCUAUAUUUGUUCAUAUUUUUCACUGUGUAUGUUAAUACAACAAUAAAUAAAGAGAGUCAUUAGGAAAUCUAAA